UUUUCUAACUGCAACAUUCAAUUUUUCUCUUACAGAAGAUGACUUCUGUUCCUCUUGAUUGAGUAGAUGUUGCAGUUCUUUAUUUCUGAUACCCAAUUCUUCCAGUUCACGAACCAAUGAUUGAUUUGCCAACGCAAUACUCUCCUUUUCCUCCUUCAAUGACAACAAGACGUUUAGAGCAUCCUCCAAUUUUCUGUUGAGAGCACCUCCAUCUGCAUCUUCAUCACAACUGACAUUACUUUCUCUCUUUUCUUCAUGAGAGAGAUCAGCGUCUUUAUCAAUAUGCUCAAGAGG
rnacentral:misc_RNA from 1 species